GCCAUAGCUCAGUGGUAGAGCAUCUGCUUUGCAUUCAGAAGGUCCCAGGUUCAAUCCUCAGCAUCUCACA
rnacentral:tRNA from 1 species